AGGAGACUCGUUUUCCGAUCACAGCUCUCCCGCAUGGCGCCCAGUGACUGAGCAAGACACCUGAUUGCUCUGCGGCCUCGGGUCUCCGUUUGAAAACAGAAACACCAAGUCCAACUUACCCUGGGGUGUCUUGAAGCCGAGCAGCGGUAGCCCGCAGUUCUGGGCUUAUGCUAGCUGGUCGGAGAGGACAGUGACCUGAACGAGAGCCGUGUGUGCUCAGCAAUCUGCUCCCUGGGUGGAGCUGUGGGUCAUGUUCACAUUAACUGAGUGGGUAAGAGGGCAGGGUCUGGAUUGAGGCUGUCUACAGUCGGGUAAGGAAAUGACAACCCACUGCAGUAUUCUUGCCUAGAGAAUUCUGUGGACAGAGGAGCCUGGUAGGCUACAAAGUGUCGGACAUAGCUGAGAGACCAACACUCACAAUCAGCUAUCACUGUGUACCCACAAUGUGCCAGGCCUCCAGCUAGGCUGAGUCCUGGGCUCACCAGAAGAGCAUAUGGUGGAUGCCUCCCCUUCUUGGUGAGCAGAAGCAGGUUCAUGCACAGCACUGUAGCCAGAUGAAGCACUAUCAGAAUGAACAGCCACAAAAAGUCCCCAUGGAUCUGGAGGGUAUGUGGACAUGGGUCAGUGGUCAGUUCCUCUUGUUUGGACUGAGUGUUGGAAGAGGCCUGAUGAAAGUGGCCUGAGAAAGUGGAAACAUGGAGUUUCCAUCUCUGGGAUGAAGAAAUUUGUGAGGUUGAGUCCUGAUGCUUCAACAUGAAAAAAUCAGGAAAAUGGGGAUGAACCAGCAAGAGGUAAAAGGAAAUAUGUGAUAGAAUUAUGUCCUAAAGGCGAAAGGAAGAAAGAGUUAAAAGGAAUAGUGACCUCUUAGCUUAAUGCCGGCUUCCCUGGUGGCUCAGUCAGUAAAGAAUCUACCCACAAUACAGGAGGCAACCUGCAAUGCAGGAAAUACAG